GGAUGUUAGAGCAAUCUGACAGUGACAUCUGUCACUCCAUCUAUGCCAGAUUUGAUUUGAGGGAUUUGGCUGGUAAAGUGUCCAGUGAUUCCCUCACUGUUCUAUAUUUGUCAUCCUGUCAUAAGGAUUGGCUGCAUCUUCAGGACGUCACCCAAGUCAAAGAGGGGAAUACUCCCAGGUAGAAGAGGAUCACAGUGCAGUCCAAGCCACAGAAUUAGUUGAUCACUCCAGCUAGGAUCUGAAAACAGAUCCACAAGGUUCAUAUGGAAAUGGUAAUUUCAGUUUUACUUUUUUAUUUGUAAAACAUUACAUACAUUUUUAAUGUAGUAAAAUUGUUCAGUUG
ensembl:misc_RNA 7SK 7SK RNA